CCAUCACCUGCUGGCCCUUCCACAUGUGCUUUACAGAAGUAUAGAUAACCCAGUAUUUGCUUGCAGAGGUGACAACUGUUUAGAAAAAGAUGUUGGAGGAAGUUGACAGGGGUGACAAUCGCCCCGUGUGAACCACUCACUGCAUGACUGAGGGUGAGUCUGCCAAGCAGCUUCUAAUGGCCAUUGCUAUUGAGAUUAGAAAGCUCUUCUCUGUUUCAAGAAAAAAAAUUGCCAGCAGGAUUUUCGAUAUAAAUAGGAACUAUAAUGCAGAAAUUGCUUACAGGCAUCUUCCUGGAUUGUGUUGGAAGAAAACUGCAGAAUCUGCUGCUCAUCUAAUUCCAAGGAGACUCAAACUGAGAUAAAAUAAAGAGGCAGCUACAUCUACUACUGA